rnacentral:rRNA from 1 species
UACGAGGGGAGCGAGUGUUGUUCGGAUUUAUUGGGCGUAAAGGGAGUGUAGGUGGGUAUCUAAGUCAGAGGUGUAAUCCCAGGGCUCAACCCUGGACUUGCCUCUGAGACUGGAUAUCUUGAGUAUGGGAGAGGACGAUGGAAUUCCUGGUGUAGCGGUGGAAUGCGUAGAUAUCAGGAGGAACACCAAUAGCGUAGGCAGUCGUCUGGAACAAUACUGACACUGAAACUCGAAAGCGUGGGGAG